AUCGGUAAAGGUGGAAACGGGCGAAGCCGCCCCUUCGAACUGGCCGAUGACGACGCGC
rnacentral:sRNA from 1 species